UGCCAGCCGCCGCGGUAAUACGGAGGGUGCGAGCGUUAAUCGGAAUUACUGGGCGUAAAGCGUGCGUAGGUGGCUUGGUAAGUCGGAUGUGAAAGCCCUGGGCUCAACCUGGGAACUGCAUUCGAUACUGCCUGGCUAGAGUAUGGUAGAGGGAAGUGGAAUUUCCGGUGUAGCGGUGAAAUGCGUAGAUAUCGGAAGGAACACCAGUGGCGAAGGCGGCUUCCUGGACCAAUACUGACACUGAGGUACGAAAGCGUGGGGAGCAAACAGGAUUAGAUA
rnacentral:rRNA from 1 species